rnacentral:lncRNA from 1 species
GGUGUAAAGAUGACUUGUAAGAGAAGUGGAGAGGCAAGUCAUAACAAUAGGAUUUGCGAGCUAACCGGCCUAUAGAUCAACGAACACAUCUAGAGAAGUCAAAGAGCAAGAGAAAUGCAUCAACUUUAACUGAGAAGGCUCCACAGAAGAAGAAGUCCAAGAAGAAUAGUACAAAGUCUCAAUAUCUGUAAUCAAGUUUUUUAUUGGAUGUAAACCUCUUGUAUUUUUUUAUGUAGGUAGUAUUUUCCUACUAAUCAUUUUGGACCCAGAAGAAAUUUUAUGGAAUGUUGACAAUGUAUUUUGGCUAUUAAACAUCAUGUAUUGCUAGAGUUUUGGGUUUUUAGUUUGUACGAGCUUGUUCUGUAUAAUUUGUUGUUAGUGUGUACUAAGAAAUUUACCCAAAAAAAAAAAAAAAAAAAACUACUAAUCAUGUUGGACCCAGAAGAAAUUUUAUGUAAUGUUGACAAUGUAUUUUGGCUAUUAAACAUCAUGUAUUGCUAGAGUUUUGGGUUUUUAGUUUGUACGAGCUUGUUCUGUAUAAUUUGUUGUUAGUGUGUACUAAGAA